rnacentral:lncRNA from 1 species
AAGAGUUUAUUUAAAGGAUUUCAGGAAUUAAAACCCUAGGUUAUUUAGGUAAUCAGAAAUUAAGUCUAAGGCUUCUAAAAUAGGAAACAAAAUCAGAAAAUUAAAGGAAAGGCAAGGGAAUAUGCGGCAAGGUCCUAAAACACAUUAGGAAUGUGUUUUAAUGCAUAAAAUCAGGAAACAACCCUCUCCCUUGCACGGCAAGGAAGAGGAAAUGUCAAGGGGGUGCGGCAAGGGUUCAUAAUGUGCAAGGGAUGUGUAUUUGAUGUCCCAGACUGCUUAGGAUGCCUUCUAAGUUGAUAAAACUUAGGAACAUUUAGGAAAGGUCAAACCAAAAUAGGAAACCUUGGCUUAACUUUCCUAUUUCAAGUAGGAAUCCUUCUUGGAGUAGGAAUCCUCAUGUGAUUAGGAAUCCAUCUUCAAUUAGGAAUCCUUCGUCGAUUAGGAAUCCUUCUUCAAUUAGGAAUCCUUCGUUGAUUAGGAAUCCUAAUUUCUUCAAGUCUUCAUUCAUCCAUUCCUUUUGCUCCAAAAGGCUCCAAAUUACAUCAUUUUGCACACUUCAGCUUUGGAAUCUGAAAACACACAAAAGUGACUUUAAACACUAAAAUAACUAAAGAAACACAACGUAAAUGCACGAGAACAAGCCAAUUAAGUCGCAUAAAUAUGCUCCUAUCAGGCAGAUUUGAGUGUUUUUAGCUUGUUUUGAGUUCUUUGAGUUUGUUUUGAAUUCUUUGAGUCUAGUUUAGUGGUUUUAACUUUGUUUAUAUGUUUUUAAGUCAGUUUAGAGGUUAUUAGCAAGCCCUCCUAAUCCCCGGUCCAGAACGAUCCCUACUUACAUUCUUUACUACAAUUGAUACAAAAGGGUUUAAUUUGUGUGUUAAGUAAAUUCGCAUCAAAGUUUUGCGCCGUUGCCGGGGAUUAGCAACUUUGCUAAUCCCUUGUUAUUUCUUCUUGUAUAUUUUCGUGUCUUUUGUUUUUAGUUACUGACUUUGUUUCUGUUUGUGUUUGUGUUUAUGUUUUUUUUUUUUACUUUUGAUAUUUGAUUUAGUUUUGUUCCUUGAUUUUAGGUACUAGAGAAGUAAGACAUGGAUUUUGCUACCAUUCAAGCUCAAUUGGCGAAACUUACUUCUCAAUUGUCACAAUAUGCCGAAAGGACACAAUGCAAAGUGUCCCUACAUAUGGUGUGUCAUAUGGGCAAGGAUAUCCAACUCAUCAAUGUUCUCAAUUCGCUGCGAAUGAAGAUGCUUGGGGUUAUCAAGGCCAUAGCCAAUCAUGGGACAACAUGUUUUCCAACGCUUACAAUUCGGAUUGGAGAGAUUACAUGUUGGGAGAACCUUAACAAUUCCAACAAGAUGGAUAUUGGCAG